UACGUAGGUGGCAAGCGUUGUCCGGAUUUAUUGGGUUUAAAGGGUGCGUAGGCGGUUUCAUAAGUCAGUGGUGAAAUACGGCAGCUCAACUGUCGAGGUGCCAUUGAUACUGUGAGACUUGAGUACAGACGAGGUAGGCGGAAUUGACGGUGUAGCGGUGAAAUGCUUAGAUAUUGUCAAGAACACCGAUAGCGAAGGCAGCUUACUAGGCUGUAACUGACGCUGAGGCACGAAAGUGUGGGGAUCAAACAGG
rnacentral:rRNA from 1 species